GAGAGCUGGGAGAUGAAGUACAGUCUUUACUCCUUCCACCCCACCUAGCGAGUCUUCUUCCCCCAUCUGUCUUUUUUUUAUGUGCACUCGAGGUCCCAGGUGCCCAUCGGUAAGACUCAGAGACCAGUGAUAGGUAACAAGGGACAAUAAUUUUUUCCUGCGAUAAACUAGUUGGCUGAGUUACUUGGGGCAGUGUGGGAGCAUAGAAAAAACUUGUGUUUUCAACUUUAACCAACUCCACGGGAGGGCGGGAGGAAGAGACGGUGGCCACUGUGUUUACGUCAUUUCCUGAAGCCUCAUGGAGGAAGUUCUUCCGGCUGAUGAUGACUUAGAGUUGUCAUGGUAAUGCGGCCCAAGAGGAGGCCUCCGGUUACCGUGGCAGGCCCAGUCUCCAUUUCUCUGCAACAAAGGUUUGAGCAGCAGGAUUUGAUUCAAGGAACAAAAAUCGUAACUAUUCAAGCAUUCAGCAUUGGAAUUAACUCCAAAUUGGCCCAGUUAUGGAAGAAACAUUGAGUAAAAGCAAAUUAAUAGAAACAGGUUCAACUGAUGCAGGGCAAAUCCAAGGAACAAGCAUCAGCAUAUGUAGAAUUGUCUAUUGUGAUAAAGCAUUAAUGUAUGUUUCUUUGUUAGAAGUUUAGAAUACUGUGGAUUUAACAUUGAAAAGAAUAUUGUUCUUUCCAUGGUAAUCUAAUUCAUAAUUACAUUAUUAUAACAUGAUUUCAGCAAAUUUAAAGGUAAGGUAUAUUUUUUGUUUUUAAAGAGAAUUAGGAAUCUUUAAUUUCUGGGAUCCUGAAAAUAUAUUUUACACAGUACUUAAAAGAUUUUAGUGCUGCUUUAGAGGGGUUUAUCAUUGGUGUUGGCUUUAAUAAUUGAUUUUAAUAAGCCUGGAGGAGAACACACCAACAAAAUCAUAGGUUCCUACUUAGAAAAUAGAAACACACUCUGUCAAUUGAUGAUACUCUAUAAACUAGCUAAAUCCCCACUUUACUGGGGGUAAAAGUACAAAUUUCUUCCACAAGAAACCUUGACAUUAGACAGUAACAGGUUUUUUAUCCUAAUUGUUAAAAAAUAGUGUUCCAAUUUUUAAAAAAAAUAUAUUAGGUGCUUUAUCCAUUUGAAUCAUGCAUUUUUUAGGAGAAAAACUUUUUUUAAAACAUUGAUAGAGUAGUUUUUUUUUUUUCCAAAGUUAUUCACAUAGUUUAUUUCAUUUAGUCCUCACAACUCUGUAACCUGUUCUAAGUUAUAUAAUUAUAACCGAGUCACAGAUGAGAGAACUGACAUUUAAGUUAAAUGACAUGACUAUAGUAACGUAGUUUUUAAACGGUAGAGCUAGGAUUUUUUUUUACAGUUUCAAUUAUUUUGUUUUAUUUAGUUUUCAUUACUUACUUUUCCAGACCUUUGCACCCACUCCCACCUCCCAAAAGGGCUUAUAACAAAUAAGCAUAAAUAAGCUAAGUAAAUUCCCAAACAGAUAGUCCACUUCCAAAUGUUUGUUUCCUUCAUCUCAAGUCCAUCAUUUCUUAAUAUGUAAAUAACAUGCUUCAUCAUUUUUUCCCUGGAAUUCUGAGUUAUCAUUUCAAGUCUUUCAAAAUUGUUUUUACAACAUUAGGUUGUUCUUAAGAAGGAAUAUUUAAAUAAGUCAUCUAUGAACAAGACAGAGUGAAAGUCCCUGAAGAGAGAUUUCAAUUUUGUCUCUCUAUCCCAAGCAUCUAGGAGAGUGCCCAGAAUAUAGUAGGCACUAAAUAAAUGCUAAUUGAAACAAAGAAUACAAGGCAUCUUUAUGUGUGUAUAGGCAUAUCUUUAUCAUUCUAUGUAUAAAACGUAAGUUUUUUACACUCAUAUUCAUACCUUUAAAUAUUUAAAGUAGGAUAAUUGUCUAAAAGAAAGGAGAAGUAUAUUAAACUUGAAAAGCAGCACUCCUUUACAAAAAUAUUUUUGAUAGUUUAAAGUAUUUUUGAGAUGCCGAAAAGAGAAUCUUAGUUUGUGGAAAACUAAGAAUGGUAGUUUAAGAAUAUGAUUAAAAGGAUAUAAGCAGAAUGAAUUGUGUUCCAAAAUCAGAUCAAGAAACUUAGAUUAAAGUAGACUGAGCUACAGAGAAUUUAAGUCACUAAAAAGCACUUGUGUUUAUUUGCUAGUUCGUGUUACAUAAUAAAGUCUGAAAAUUUGGUAAAUAAGAAAAGUGACUAGUGUGUAUUCAAAAUAAUUCUUCAAAACACCAAAUUUUUAUGUGUUUUUCAGUAUUAAAAUUUCUCCCAAGAUAUGCUAUAUAACAAAUGUAUCAGUAAACUCCUAAAAUAAAGUUUUCUUGCCAUUGCUAGAUACGCAUUCAGUUUUAUUGAAUACUUAAAUUACAUUAAAGUUUGUGACUCUUGUGGAUGGUAAACAAGUUAGAUUUAAGUUAAUUUACAUUUAAUUAAUUCAGAAAUUCUAGAUUGUUUUUAUGUCCUCCUUCCCCCCCCCACACACACACAUUUAAAAAGCAAGUUCACAAUAGUUGAAUUGGAAAAUAUUGACCUGAUAGCCACCAUUGACUAAUAUCCUAAUAUUUUCAGUGAUAAUGGGAAUGCAUAUCUACUUGUAUUUCAUGGUUGACACCAUGCAGAAUAUUUCACCUUAGCUAAAAAUCUAUUUUACAAAUGAAUGAUAUGAUAGAAUUUCAAACUUUUUUAUCUAGUAACUUUAGAUAAUAUUAACAGUUAUGAAAUAUACUUGCCUAGAUUAUUUUUGGUGUUUUCUACUUGAAAUAUAUUAAAGGAAAUUAUAAAAAAAGUGGGAGAGUAUUAAAUCUACUAAGUUAGAUGUUCUUAAAUUUUUUUGUGUCAUAAACCUCUUUGACAAUCCAGUGAAGCUUACAUAGCCCUUUUAUCAGAGUAAGUUUUUAAAUGAACAUUUUAAAUGUAAAAUGCAUAAGAUUACAAAGGAAUAUAGUUAAAAUAUAUUUUUUUAAACGGUUCUUGGAACCCACGUUAAGAAUCCAUUGUUAGCUUGUGUGCGUUCUAUUAUAAAAUUAGAAACAGCAUUUGAAUUUUAAUUACCAAUUCCGAUCAAGGAAAUUAUACUAUAACUUAUCUGUACUAUAAAUCUAUGUGAGUAAAUUCAAGUUAUUUUCUACAACUGGCACUGCCCUUAAUAGUUAUAUGAUUUCAACUGAAGAAGGAAGGGAGGAUUUAUUAUGGUACUGUCUAUAAAACUUGGGUCCAUUUCUCCAUUGUUGAUAUCAGAAAUGUGAUCACAUAAAAUCAUGUGAAAUAUAUGAUUAGAGAUGAGUCAUUUUACUCUUUAUCAUUGGACUAGAAAUUUGUAGAUUCCAAAUCUAGGUGUAGCCAUUUAUAAAUACUUUUUAUAACUGGGUUUCUUAACCUAGAGUUCACUGACCCUAAGAAGCCCUUGGACAAAAUUUAGUGAGUCCAUUACCUGUAUGGAGAAAAAAAAUCACAUAUUUAUUUUCAUUAAUCUCUAACAUUUCCUUCAACUAUGAAUGUAAGCACUAAAAUAUGAUUCUGAGAAAGGACCCGAUAAACUUCACCAGACUGCUAUAAAGGUCCAUGACACAAAAAGAUUGAAAACCUUC